rnacentral:rRNA from 1 species
UGGGGAAUUUUGGACAAUGGGCGAAAGCCUGAUCCAGCCAUGCCGCGUGAGUGAAGAAGGCCUUCGGGUUGUAAAGCUCUUUUAGUCGGAAAGAAAGAGUCGCAAUGAAUAAUUGUGAUUUAUGACGGUACCGACAGAAAAAGCACCGGCUAACUACGUGCCAGCAGCCGCGGUAAUACGUAGGGUGCGAGCGUUAAUCGGAAUUACUGGGCGUAAAAGAUGCGCAGACAAUUUUGCAAGUCAGAUGUGAAAGCCCCAAACUUAACCUGGGAAUUGCGUUUGAAACUACAAGGCUAGAGUGCAGCAGAGGGGAGUGGAAUUCCAUGUGUAGCAGUGAAAUGCGUAGAGAUGUGGAAGAACACCGAUGGCGAAGGCAGCUCCCUGGGUUGACACUGACGCUCA